AUGAACGCUAGCUACAGGCUUAACACAUGCAAGUCAGGGGCAGCAUAUCGAAGCUUGCUUUGAUAGAUGGCGACCGGCGCACGGGUGCGUAACACGUAUCCAAUCUACCCAUGGCUCAGGGAUAGCCUUUCGAAAGAAAGAUUAAUACCUGAUGGUUUCAUGAUUCCGCAUGGACUUAUGAAUAAAGAUUUAUCGGCGAUGGAUGAGGAUGCGUCCGAUUAGCUUGUUGGCGGGGUAACGGCCCACCAAGGCGACGAUCGGUAGGGGCUCUGAGAGGAGGAUCCCCCACAUUGGAACUGAGACACGGUCCAAACUCCUACGGGAGGCAGCAGUGAGGAAUAUUGGUCAAUGGGCGAGAGCCUGAACCAGCCAAGUAGCGUGAAGGGGAUGACUGCCCUAUGGGUUGUAAACCUCUUUUGUUUGGGAAUAAAGUGAGCCACGUGUGGCUUUUUGUAUGUACCUUACGAAUAAGCAUCGGCUAAUUCCGUGCCAGCAGCUGC
rnacentral:rRNA from 1 species